rnacentral:lncRNA from 1 species
AUUCAAACAGGCUACUGCUAUUAAGGAUUGCACAACUUCUGGGCAAGGCAGAGGGCAAGAGGACAAAGGAGGAUGCAUGGAAAUACAAACAGCCCUUCUCCUCCAGGCCAUACCGACUGUCCAACUAGCAACAGACUUCACCUGGUUUUGGAGCAAUCUGAAUUUGGAAUAUGCCAGAGAAAACUUCUAUCAGGCACGAUGGUAAGAGUCCAGUGGAUGGAAAAGGCCUCCUCCUUAAAGAUGGUGAUGGAAACGAGCACUGCACAGGGAAACACAAAUCAGGUCCCCUGAAAUCCAGCCCAACCUGGCCAGACCCUCCAGUGCCCAUCAGGGCUUAUGAACAGGGUGCUUCAGUGUCUUUGUUAGGGGUGGUUAAAAAGGAGCACGUGCUUAUAGGGGAUGCUGCUGAGCUCCAUGAUUUUGACUUCCUGUCUAACCUGUUGAUGCUACAAAACUCUUUUAAAAACAGUUACCAUGGGAACUUUUCCCUAGCAAGCAUUCUUCAAGAAACGUUACAGGUGCUGGUGAAUUCAAUGCCCUUGGUGUCAAUAAGCUUUUGCUGAGUCUUAGAAUGUGUGGCUUGAACUGAGAGGACUUUCAAACAGAUAAUGCGAAGUUUCCAAUGCAAAUGUCUUCGGGGUUAAGUGUCAGUGAAGUGCAGUGGAAGGUAGGGGGAUAAAAUGAUCUCAGUGUAUAUGGAGGCCCCACUUAAGCAUUCAAAAAAUUCUAUAUACAGUGUUUUCAAUGUAUUAUGUAUCAGCAAAACAAAAUACCCCAUAGGGCUAUAAUCAGCUCAGGGGGUCACCUCAGCAAGAGAUGCUCUGGCUAUCACUCCUACUACGGGAUUUCCUCUCUCAUCAGAACCAGUAGGUGGUCAAAACCACAAUAAUGCAUAAAUGAAGGCAGGGAAUUGGGUAUCCAAUGUGAGCAACUGAAAAGGUGCCAUGUAUUAGCUAUUUGCCAUUAUGGUUCUGCAAGUGCUCAGAUGACUCAUAAAAUGACCAGAACAAAAGUUUGUUCUUUUGUUUUUACUUUGAGAAGAUAAAGAAUCACGAAUUAGUAUUCAAGGUUACCUAAUACUAACCCUUGUCUACCACGUGACCUUGCAUUACAGGGAGCUGUUGUUGGGACAGGACAAGAGUCCACAUCCCCUGCCCAGUGCCUGGUUCUGGGUCAUGUCACCGAAGCGCAUCAGCCCAUCUGUCAGCCAAACCCCACUAGCCUUGUGCCUUCUCUUCUAAAUCCCCGCGGAGGAAAACAACUUCUGCCUUCUACAGUACGAACAGCGAGGGUCUGCUGGGAACCAAUACAACUUCGCGUCCCAGUGCAGCAAUGUUGCCAGGUAACAAAUGUAGAAACAUACUCCAAAAACUGUAUGUGACAAUAUACAACCUCCGCUCUGCAGCUGAUAACCGAGGGAGUGUUAAAACACCGCGUUCUCUUAACACUUGGGUUUUUGGUGUGAAAGUAAAAUUAAACGGGAUACUUCCUCUUGUAAAUAUAAGACAGGCAUACAACUCACACACGUAUCCACUAAUCGGAAAUAGUAGAGGGGUUUGCAAUAGCUAUCUGCAGUGCAUCCCAGCCUUCACUCUUACCCUCAAGAUGAAUUCCAGAAAACCUACAGAAACGAUAACUGAGGAAGAGCCUUUCUUCUGUCGGGGACAAGCUCUCCUCUAACAAUUGUGAGGAAGCUACCCACAAGAAAGACACCAGCAGAAAUUAAGGAAAAGCUCAUGCAUUGUUAUUAAAAAAAAAUGUGCUUCCAUUCCACUCCAUUUUAAAGGUCUACCUUUAAAACUCAUUGGCUAACCAAGCAGUGACUACUUGCUUCUCAGAUCAAAUAACCAGUGCAGCCUGUUCCCACCCCAAACGAAAACAAGAUAGACACUGCUCUCUAGUAGGCAGAGCUCCAAAGUGGGUACAGGGCACUGAAUAGCUCCCUCACAUUGUACUCAUGUAACUUAAAGGCUGGCUAGCAUGGGAGAAAGCUGAGAGACUUCUGAGGGCCUUGUGUUCAAAUCCCAGCUCUGCCAACUGGGUGACUUUGGGUAAGACACAUGGCUUUUUUCAGACUCAGUUUCCUCAUCUGCAAUUGGGACUAUUCCAUGUAGCCCAGAUAGAGUACCUACUGGCUCCACGCACAGUGCUGGGCACUUUAUAAAAUGAGAAGACCUUCCUCCCUUUCCCUUCGCCCAAACAUGAAUAUUCUUCAACCAGUAAAGACUCAGAUGUGGGGAGUAUCUGGUGCAUUUAGCUUCUCUGAGCAAAACGGGCAAAAGCUGAGAUCUAAUAACCAUCACAUGAUGCCAAAGAACAUAUGCUUCUUUAGACGCAAGCGAAAAACAAAAAUCGCUAUUAAUCCAACUUUUCAUAACGGCCCUAAUUAGAUGAGCUGCUGUCAAUCUCUUCCACAGUGAGGAAGUUCUGUAGGACAGUCUUCCUGUCAUUAACUUUCCUAAGACCUGGGAACCUGGAACUUGCUGGAAGUACAUGUAUGUAGCACACAUAAUUGUCAUUUGGCAAAUGAGAUGCCCAGUCUGAAAGGAAAAGUCUUUCAUGAUUUCCUCCUCCAGAAUUCAUGGGCAGACCUUAUAAACAAAGCAAAUACACUGACCACUCGAGCUGCCUUCUGAUUAUCAGGAGGGCACAGUGUCUCCCACAAAGACUCCACUACCAAAGAAAACAAAAUGUGGAGGCACAACUUCCAAUCUGCCUGGCAAACAGACGCAAAGUCCUUGAAGCGGCCAUGUCUGUGCCUGGAAAAUUGGUGGAGUAAGGAGGCGGCAUGGUAGAGAGGUUACAAACUCACGUUCUGGCAGAAAACAAACCCUGGAACAACUACCAGCUGGCUCUGUGACUCUGAGCAUAUAACCUGACCUCUCGGAUCCUCUAUUUCCUCAUUAGCAGAAAGGGAUCAAAACAGUACCUACUACAUAGGCGCCCCAGGAAGAUGGAUGAGACCAUGCAGUGAGGGCGCCUGGCUAGCCCGUGGUACAUGAGCACUUGUUACCACUACUGUCCAUCAUUAUUACAAAGAAGAAGAAAAGAGGACUGCUGCCAUCAUAAGGCUAUUUCUCCAAGUUGACAUGUAUUUCCCAUGGGCUCAGAUCAAUUCCCUCCCACACCUAAAGAAGGUCCCCUUUAAAAUGGCAAUAAUCAUCAACAACACAAGUUCACAUUUCACAUCCUCAUGUUUCUAUUCAAAAAUGGUAAGAAGGCUAAAGUAACACGGUGGCCACACUGGGUCAGAACUUCUAUCUCUACAUUUACAGUCUGAGUGCUGGGGAGUCAGAUGGAGACUUGACCCCGGAAGAAAGUGCACCCUUGGGCGAGUUAGUGGGUGAGGGAAGAUAAACAACCAAAAAGUAAGCAGAGUUGCUUUGGAUGAGCUGUUACGAUGUGUUAAAAGCUCCAUGCUGAGCUGAGUGCCUUCCACAUAUUAUCUCAGUGAAUUCCCAGAAUAGUUUAUACAGUAGGAGUAUCCACACUGAUUCAUCAUGUACACACUGAGGACCUUUCAUCCAGCACGUGUGGAGGCUCCUCGAGGGGACUCGGAGUGAAGACAGACUUGGUCUCUGCCCCCUCGGGUCUUACAGUCAAGCUCCAGUUGAAGUGUGGUCAUUACUACAGUAAAUGAAGCACAACCCAUUAUCUCUGCCUCAGGGGAUCAAGAGGAAGUUUCUAGAGUAGGAGACAUUUCAAUCAGGGCUUGGGGAGCCUGCCAAAGGGAAUGAGGGCACGUCCCACAUGAAGCAAAGGCAUCUGAGUUCAUGGCCCCGCUGGGGAUUGGCAGGCAUGAGUUGCAGCUGCAGGACAAUAAGCGUAGGGGAGUGAGUGGAGAAACCCAGGUGGGGCCAGACCACGUGAGGCACUGAUGGGUUCCAUCAGGGUGGCCAUGGGCUCCAUACUCCACAGAAGGCUGUUCAGAUGGGGAAGCAGGUAGUGAGGGUUCCAUUUGGGGGGCAUCACUGACAACCGCGUGGAAGAGAGAAAUGCCCAGAGGCAGGAGGCCACUAAAAGGCUAUCUCAGUUAUCCAGGCAAAAAGGCUGACAGGUGCAGAUCUCAGCAGCCCUAUGCUGGCAGGCGGUCGAGCCUGGUGGUCAAGAAUAUGAAUCCUGAAGUAACAGUGCCUAGUUUCAAACCGCUGCUCCUCCAUUCCCAGCUGGGCCACUCUGAAUUCACAGUGCCAACUAUCUGGCUCAUUAUAAGUCCUAACAAUGGUUAAACUCCCAGGAGGUAGAGUGGGCACAGAUUAGUUCCUGGAGAAAAGCAAGAGAAAAAGAAGUCUGAUGACUGCAAAGCUUCUAGCUUGGGUAUCCUUGGCUGGUGGUGAGUCCACUGAGAAAGCUAUGGAACACGAGAGGGCAAAUAGAAUGGAGGAAGGGAGAUGACAGUGUCAUGGGGUCCUGCUAACUUAUAGCUAACACAAGUGGAGAUGCCCAUCAGGGAUUUGAGCAGAAAUCUAGAAAUCGGCAGAGAGGUGGGACCGAGAGCUGUAUCUUUGGGAGGUGUUGGCAUAAAUGGCUGCUGGAGGCCUGGGCAGUAGAUGAGAUUACCCAAGGGGAUCGGUAGAAAAAGAAGGCAAACAGGCUGGAGAUGGGGCCUCAAAACAUUUCAGAUGUUUUAAGGUCAACCGUAUAUGCCCUGAGAAGUCCCUGUGUUUACCACUAGGAAAACGUUUGUAGGAGGCACAGAAAUAGCACAGCAUUAAGCCAUAAGGGAGUGACUAACCUGAAACCAUGAUGCUUUGGGGUAGGACGGUCAGAGG